CCUACGGGAGGCAGCAGUAGGGAAUUUUCGUCAAUGGGCGCAAGCCUGAACGAGCAAUGCCGCGUGAACGAGGAAGGUCUUCGGAUCGUAAAGUUCUGUUGAAGGGGAAAAAGAGCGGAGAGAGGAAAUGGUCUCCGCUUGAUAUUACCCUUCGAGGAAGUCACGGCUAACUACGUGCGAGCAGACGCGGUAAUACGUAGGUGGCGAGCGUUAUCCGGAAUGAUUGGGCGUAAAGGGUGCGUAGGCGGCCUGCUAAGUCUGGAGUGAAAGGUACCGGCUCAACCGGUACAGGCUCUGGAAACUGGCGGGCUAGAGAGCAGGAGAGGGCGGUGGAACUCCAUGUGUAGCGGUAAAAUGCGUAGAUAUAUGGAAGAACACCAGUGGCGAAGGCGGCCGCCUGGCCUGUUACUGACGCUGAGGCACGAAAGCGUGGGGAGCAAAUAGGAUUAGAUACCCUGUAGUC
rnacentral:rRNA from 1 species